UUGAAGUGAAGGGGAUUGGAUGUGUGAGUCAGCAAAGGAGACCAUGUGCGUAAGUAACCAUCUAAAGACGUUCUUCAUGUGAUAAAAACUCAGAACCAAAAGUUCAAACGUAAAAUCCCUCCACUGACCUCAUUCCUCCUCCACCGCAUCGGAGGUCGCCUCCGGCGGCAGCGGAGCCUCGAUGCCAAAAACAACUACAUCAUAUGCUUCAAUUCAUCAACCUGGAUCUGAAUAUCAUAAUGAAAUAAAAUAAUUCCUCAUGAAUAGCUUGAAUCGAAACAGAGAGUUGAAGAAACCUAAAUCUGAGAAACAAAAUUAAAUCCUCACAUCUCGGAAUCAAAGCCCUGGAGCUUAGGGCUUUGAUCCCCUAACCUCCUCCUACACUUCGGUAACUUGUAUGCAAUGAAAUGAUGAAGAUGAGGAAGUAACUCACUAGAGAAGCGCCAGAAUCAUGCUUGCUGAUUGUGUAAGCGUUAUCUUGACCUGCUGAUGUGAAUUAUUGCAUGGUGCUUAUGCCAUGUGUAUUUGGUGGUUUGAUUGUGGUUGCCUUGACCUGCUAUGAUGUGGAUGCUAGGUUUGUUUUUGUUUGUUGUGGUUAGGUUUGUUUUAGGCUUUGGUCAUGCUUACUAGGUUUAAGAAAUAGUUGCGGGCUUACGGUUACGAUUAGCAAGGUUUGUAAUGGUAAUGGUAGGUCUGUUUUAGGUUUUGGUCAUGCUUACUUGGAUUGUGGCAGGUUGGAUGCUUGCUAAUGUACUUUGCAAUGCUUGUAAUAGGCUAGGAUUUAAAUGGUAUUGUGUUUCAUGCUAAUGUGUUGUAAUGGUAAUGAUGCAAGUUGGUUUGAAAUUUUUAUGGUAUAACGAUUUGGUUUUUAAA